UACGUAGGUGGCAAGCGUUAUCCGGAUUUAUUGGGCGUAAAGCGAGCGCAGGCGGUCUUUUAAGUCUAAUGUGAAAGCCUUCGGCUUAACCGAAGAAGUGCAUUGGAAACUGGAAGACUUGAGUGCAGAAGAGGACAGUGGAACUCCAUGUGUAGCGGUGAAAUGCGUAGAUAUAUGGAAGAACACCAGUGGCGAAGGCGGCUGUCUGGUCUGUAACUGACGCUGAGGCUCGAAAGCAUGGGUAGCGAAC
rnacentral:rRNA from 1 species